UACAAACUACAAAUGAACUUCCGCUUUCUUUUCCAUCCUGGAUCUCGACGAAGGACGGCAAGUAUCUUUGAUUUUCAUCUCUGGUUUUGGCUUGGUUUUCAAUUGAUCUCACACACACAGGUGACUGUUGAAUGUUUAGUUUAUUCUCCUCUUCCCUCUCUAUUGUGGUUUAAUAGCUAAAUGAUUUUAUUGAUCUUUCAUUGUGUUUUUUUAUUUGAAAUCGACGAUGAUAUAUUGCACUUUGCGUCAUGAAAGAAGAGACAGUGAGGGAGGAAUGAAUGGAAAAAUUGGAUGACCGCGAAUCAUCAUCGUCCAUUGAAAUCGACACCAGCCAUGUAAUCGUUAAUAGCGAUUAUGUUAUGUCGGUGGCGAACAUCGAUGAUACGGCCAACAAUAAUGUGGCGGUGGAGGUGGUGCUGGCGGUGGCGGUAGUUGUUGCGUGGACGGCGUUGAUCCCGAUUGCAACGAAGAGGAUUGUUGUACGGAAUGUUGAGGCGACGGCCCGACUGAAUAUAAACGGGGCUUACUGUCGAGCGAUCACCUGCAGCAGCACGAGUAACUUCAUUACAUGAAUCACGAUGUAUUCGCCGUGUCUCACGAAACAAGAGGAUACGGAUCGAGGAUGAUAUAUCGAUAUCCAUUUCACUGAUCUUGAUGACGCGUCACACGAUUGAGCGAAGCCGAUUGCUGGCGGAUCGAGUCGAUGAAAGGACGUAGACACAUUCGGAAUAAAACUCGCCAGUCAGUGGACAGAGAGCGACUGAGCGACCUUUGCCCCUGGUUUAUUCAGCCCUUCGCACCCCUUCUCUCUCCCACUCAUAGUCUCGGUGAUAUAUCGAAGAGGGAAAAAUUCUCACCGUUAAUCGUCGUUGACCACAAGUAUCAUCGACUGACUGACUCAUCGAUCAAGAAGGCGGACCUUCUCGAGCGAAGUCGCAUUUAACAAAAGUCAACAAGAAGACUUUCGGCAGUCUCCACCUGAAUUAAAUUUGAAUUAAGGUAACACAUUUUUACUUCGAUUGUUUGUUUUUUUUUUUGCACCAUAAUAAUUACUCCAAAAAUUUCGCGAAUGCGAUUCUUCUUUUACUUGCACUCACUUGUUAUUUUCAAAAAUAUAUAUACAACUUUCUUCACACUUUUAUUAUCACGAACAUUUAAACAAUUAUCUGUUUAUCGUCGAGAUCAAUCGAUCUCUAAUUACAAUAAUUUUCUCGCUCGCGAUACAAUUCUGUCGCACGUGCGUAAUAUCGAGUAACACCGUAGUUAUGUUGAAAUGAUCCUCCGGUCUGGCCAUCGUCGUCGGCGAUGUAAAUGAAAUGAAAUCACGGACGAGGCUGAGGGUCGGGCCUCAUCAGGCAACGCGAGGCAACCGAAGACCCGAUUGGCGAAAUAUGAAUUCCCAGAAUUCAGGGCCAUACAACAACUCAGCCACUCUCGAUCAAGUCGCUUUUGGCUCCAUGCUUUCGGCGCGCAUCGUCGACCGCUGAAUCACGCCUGAUUGCUCAUCUUACAUGCUCUUUCUUCUUUUCUUCCCGCCGAUUCCCACACGUUAAAGGAAUAUUACAUUUUCCGUAUCGUCGUUAAUAUAAUAAGAUAAAGUUAUCGCGAAUAAUUGCAUUUUCCAUCGUGGAUGCGAUAUAUUUCUCUCAUCUCGCGAUAUAACAAAAUUUAUUUCAAUGGCUAAAAACGUUCUUUUUCUUAUUCGAAUAAAAAUAUUUUUAUAUUUGCUUUAAAUAAAGAAGAAUCGUAUUUUUUGUUCUCUAAUGUACAACUUUGCUGCGUGCAUUUUGUAUCGGAGAAUAAUAAUUGCUAUUGUAGAUAUAUUAUCUUUGAAAUUUGCAUAAAAACUUUAAAUUUAUAAAAAGAAGUAUUAGUCAUUUUAGAAAGCGGAUGUAUAUAUGCACAAUAUACACCUAACUAUAUAUUAGGAUGCCAGCCGGUUUUUUUAUGGGAUAUGACUGUUAAUAUUCCAAGAAUAUUUCUCUCGUUUGAAUUAGUCAGAGUAGAAAUUAAUUCUAAAGAAAAAAAUUCAGAGCUUGUAAAGUAAAUUGGAUACAAACGUAGCCAUGAGGAAUCAUUAACUUCAAUUUUUUAUGCAGCAGAUAACGUUUAAAUAUUUAUUAAGACAUAAUGUAACGUUUUAAAAUAAUG